UUCGCCCGAGCGGCGGCCGCGAGGGACGCGGGCCCGGGACGUUUAAAGGGCAAAUUAAAGUUAUCUGGUGCCUGCUGGGAACCGCGGUGUCAGAGCAUGUGCCCGCUGUAUUUAUAGCUCCCGGGAGGCACCGGAGGGAGCAUGGGGAGCUGGCAGGAGCGGUUCAGGCCGUACUAAGCGUUCCGUGCGGCCGAGAGGCAGCGGCUGAGGGCUGAAAGCCUCCCCGGAGCGGUCUGACAGUGCCACCGGCCAGCUGAGAGUGCAUUAAGCCUUGCCCUCGUGUGCGUGGGCUCACGCAGAGGGGGGCGACAUGGAUGUCGUGCCCAACAACAAAGCUCCCCAGGGAUGCACUGCCAGCCUGGAAGGUGGUGCUGUGUUUAUAGGCAUCAGUGACCAGGACUGGACCUCUCUUGAGUCGAGGCCAGAGAGCUGCUUCAUGCUGUACGCACCGCGUGGAACUUGCAGGCAUUGAGGUCUUUAAAUACCCCAGCAUGCUCUGGGACUCGGCUUUCCCGAGGAGGAGACAACAUGCCUUUCUGCAUUGUACCCUCAUUUCACCCCUGCAAGGUCAGACCCUCGCAAGACCCACAGGCAAUCCCCUCUUCAGAAAGAGAGAGAGGGAGGGAAGGGAGGAGACCGUGGGAAGCACAUGCCCAGGCGUGCUGAAGCUGCUUGACUCGCACUAACUGAGAAAGAGUAAAGGCUGCAGUGAAGCUCUGCCUUUAUGCAGCGUCUGACUCUUAGAAGAAUGUUUGAGUAUAAAGUGAAGAUUAAAUGGCUUCCCCCAUUAGUUUCUCAUCUGUUCUGUCUGGCGGACCCCUAUAAGAAAGCAGGAGCUUAUGAUUCAUUGUUGGUUGUUGGGUGACUUGUGUGGAAUACUUACGCAAAAGGCAAUGCAGCAAGGUCUGGUGUCUCCUCUUUUCAUGGGAAAGCAAACACCCCUUUAACACCCCCAGGCUCCUGCUGCUGGUUUCACACAGACCCCCCCGGCUAGUGAUGCUCACAGCUGCUGCCUGACUACCCAGAUUGACAAGGUGUGCACUCAGGUGUCAGCUCUUCUGACUGGUGUAUGGUGAGUGGGAGAUGGGAGAGUGGUGGUGAGAUGCUGCUGGGGAGGAAAGGCAGUGGGGGGCCUGAAGUAAGAGUGGUCUGGGGGUCUAGCCUGAAAGGAUUGUUUGCCAGCCCCUUCCCUACCAUCUUUGAUUUAAAUUCGUGGGGGAGUUAAUUAUUUUUUAGGUAAUUUAAAUUGUUGGGGAGUUUAAUGAUGUUUUAAUAAAGUCUUUAUCACAAGAAUUCCAGUUAGUUUUUGAAGUUAUUGCUGGGUAUCAUCAUCACAUCCACAGAUAUUGUUUAAUCUAUAGCACUACUGUUGUUUA